GGAAGAGUUCGAGCAAAUAACGGAUCUUUGCGUCACUCACGUGAAUGAGUUUCUUCAAUGGAGCACAAAAGAAGAUAUUAUAAGAAAUGUCUCGGUGUUUUUGUCCUUACAGUCAAAGGACAGGAUUGAAGGAUGUGAGGAAGAAAGAACAUUAUAAUACUGGCUUGGACUGACAUGAGGUGAAUAACAUCAGCUGUACGUCGAGAUCGCUGAGCGAGCGUCGUAACGCCCCGCGCUAGCGAAGAGUUUUAGGAGAGACAGAAAGCAUGAGAAGAGAGGACCGGGAGACACCUCGAGCUGCGAGUCGCUCAGAGCCGAAGUCACAAAACCAGGUGAUGGUUCCAGCGGAGAUGUUGUUCGGGGGGGCGAGAGCGCUGUCACGGCCUGAAAGCUCAGCACACUUGAAGCUGGAAUCCAUUUAUUCCCCAGGCCAGGCCUAAUUACCCCUCUCUGCCACAGACUCUGAAAGCGACUUCUGGUUUUCUGUGCCGGAUCAAAGAAGACGGAUGUCGGGCGAUUGGGCCGCUGACAUAAUGCACUGUGGCACGCAGCUUGCUUUUAUUAGCACAAGCCUGUUAUUUCCCCGCGACUCUAAGUGUAGACGGGCAGUGAUAAAUGCUGUCGCACACGCUUGAUGCGAUUCAUUUGUCAACGGCCUGAAAAAGCAAACUGUCCCAUCAUGCAGCAGGAGCGCUCCUGAGGGACUCCAGCUCUGCUGAUAAUGAAGCCUGUCAUCUCCGCUCACCUCCACGCCGGACACACUUCCAGCUCCAAACGGCUCCUCCAUCGAUUCCCUGCUAUUUUCCAAAGCGGCUCUGUGCGUCUGGCUGAAAUACCCUCCCAGAGCUCUUCAGAGCCGCACUUGUUGGUUGAAGAUGUUGUAACAGGUCACAGUGGAGACGUCAGUGUCUGCACGCCUCAAGAUCUGAAUCAUACCAUCCCCUCCAAGACUUUGCCAAACACCACGUGUUUUCCGUCCAGCCACGGCGCUCUGGCUAAAGUAAUGAAGAACUGCGAGCCGUUGGUGUCCGGCCCGGCGUUUGCCAUGCUGACCCAACCUGCGCCCAG